UCCUUUACUGACGCUAAAGCUCGAAGGUGCGGGUAUCGAACAGGAUUAGAUACCCUGGUAGUCCGCACGGUAAACGAUGGAUGCCCGCUGUUUGCGAUAUAUUGUAAGCGGCCAAGCGAAAGCGUUAAGCAUCCCACCUGGGGAGUACGCCGGCAACGGUGAAACUCAAAGGAAUUGACGGGGGCCCGCACAAGCGGAGGAACAUGUGGUUUAAUUCGAUGAUACGCGAGGAACCUUACCCGGGCUUGAACUGCAGGAGAACGAUCCAGAGAUGGUGAGGCCCUUCGGGGCUCCUGUGGAGGUGCUGCAUGGUUGUCGUCAGCUCGUGCCGUGAGGUGUCGGCUUAAGUGCCAUAACGAGCGCAACCCCUUUCGCCAGUUGCCAUCAGGUGAUGCUGGGCACUCCGGCGACACUGCCACCGUAAGGUGCGAGGAAGGUGGGGAUGACGUCAAAUCAGCACGGCCCUUACGUCCGGGGCUACACACGUGUUACAAUGGGUGGUACAGAGAGCAGGGUGCACGCAAGUUCACCCGAAUCAAGAAAGCCAUCCUCAGUUCGGAUUGGGGUCUGCAACCCGACCCCAUGAAGCUGGAUUCGCUAG
rnacentral:rRNA from 1 species